rnacentral:rRNA from 1 species
UACGUAGGCAGCGAGCGUUGUUCGGAGUUACUGGGCGUAAAGAGUGCGUAGGCGGUGCGGUAAGUCUGGUGUGAAAUCUCCCGGCUCAACUGGGAGGGUGCGCUAGAAACUGCCGUGCUAGAGUGUGGGAGAGGUAAGCGGAAUUCCUGGUGUAGCGGUGAAAUGCGUAGAUAUCAGGAGGAACACCUGCGGUGUAGACAGCUUACUGGACCAUAACUGACGCUGAGGCACGAAAGCGUGGGUAGCAAACAGG